AUGUCACCUAGAUACUCCAAUGUCACCUCAAGUAUCCGUGGGUAUGAUUAUACGAUAUGCAUCACACAAUCUCAGAUUCAUCUAUUCCAACCAACACAAAGUACUUCAAAGAGUGCCCCAAAGUUUCUACCGGAGAGUCAAGACGAAAACGUGUGCAAACCCCUAUGCAUAGGUUCAUGGGCGGAACCCGCAAGUUCAUCACCAAAACAUACAUCAAGUGGAUCACGUGAUAUCCCAUUGUCACCACAGAUAAGCACGGCAAGACAUACAUCAAGUGUUCUCAAAUCCUUAAAGACUCAAUCCGAUAAGAUAACUUCAAAGGGAAAACUCAAUCCAUUACAAGAGAGUAGAGGGGGGGAAACAUCAUAA
rnacentral:rRNA from 1 species